CUAUGGGCCGCAGCAGUGAGGAAUAUUGGACAAUGGGCGCAAGCCUGAUCCAGCCAUGCCGCGUGCAGGAAGACUGCCCUAUGGGUUGUAAACUGCUUUUAUACAGGAAGAAUAAGCCUUACGUGUAAGGUGAUGACGGUACUGUAAGAAUAAGGACCGGCUAACUCCGUGCCAGCAGCCGCGGUAAUACGGAGGGUCCAAGCGUUAUCCGGAAUUAUUGGGUUUAAAGGGUCCGUAGGUGGAUGAUUAAGUCAGGGGUGAAAGUUUGCAGCUCAACUGUAAAAUUGCCUUUGAUACUGGUUAUCUAGAAUUGUAUUGAAGUAGGCGGAAUAUGUAGUGUAGCGGUGAAAUGCAUAGAUAUUACAUAGAACACCAAUUGCGAAGGCAGCUUACUAAGUACUAAUUGACACUGAUGGACGAAAGCGUGGGUAGCGAACAGGAUUAGAUACCCCCGUAGUC
rnacentral:rRNA from 1 species